rnacentral:rRNA from 1 species
AGAGUUUGAUCCUGGCUCAGGACGAACGCUGGCGGCGUGCUUAACACAUGCAAGUCGAGCGAGAAACCUUCGGGUUUCUAGCGGCGGACGGGUGAGUAACACGUGGGUAACCUGCCUCAAAGUGGGGGAUAGCCUUCCGAAAGGAAGAUUAAUACCGCAUAACAUUGUAGCUUCGCAUGGAGCAACAAUUAAAGGAGUAAUCCGCUUUGAGAUGGACCCGCGGCGCAUUAGCUAGUUGGAGAGGUAACGGCUCACCAAGGCAACGAUGCGUAGCCGACCUGAGAGGGUGAUCGGCCACAUUGGAACUGAGACACGGUCCAGACUCCUACGGGAGGCAGCAGUGGGGAAUAUUGCACAAUGGGCGAAAGUCUGACCGAGCAACGCCGCGUGAGUGAAGAAGGUUUUCGGAUCGUAAAACUCUGUUGGUAGAGAAGAACGUUGGUGAGAGUGGAAAGCUCAUCAAGUGACGGUAACUACCCAGAAAGGGACGGCUAACUACGUGCCAGCAGCCGCGGUAAUACGUAGGUCCCGAGCGUUGUCCGGAUUUAUUGGGCGUAAAGCGAGCGCAGGUGGUUUAUUAAGUCUGGUGUAAAAGGCAGUGGCUCAACCAUUGUAUGCAUUGGAAACUGGUAGACUUGAGUGCAGGAGAGGAGAGUGGAAUUCCAUGUGUAGCGGUGAAAUGCGUAGAUAUAUGGAGGAACACCGGUGGCGAAAGCGGCUCUCUGGCCUGUAACUGACACUGAGGCUCGAAAGCGUGGGGAGCAAACAGGAUUAGAUACCCUGGUAGUCCACGCCGUAAACGAUGAGUGCUAGAUAUAGGGAGCUAUAAGUUCUCUGUAUCGCAGCUAACGCAAUAAGCACUCCGCCUGGGGAGUACGACCGCAAGGUUGAAACUCAAAGGAAUUGACGG